UAAGAAAAUGCCUGCAGCCCCUUGCGCUCGCGGAGUCACCUACCCAAGGUCGGGCUCUGCAGGCAGCAGCCUCUGGUCUCACCCCGGUCUUGUGCGCACAUCUGGGGACACGUGGGAAGGUCGCUCUUGCGGCCAUGCAGCGGCCUGGGCUCGGGGAACGAGUCCCGCGCCGGGAAGAAAGCUGCCUGCCGGGAGCGCAGCCUACUGGGGACCCGGGACCCGAGUCGCCGCGGCUCACCGAGAGGCGGUGGGACCCUGCGGUGCGUGUGGGACGCCCGGCGGGCAGACUCUGAGCACGGCCAGGAGGCAAGAAGAGAUUGAAGAGAAAACUCAAGGGGCUCCAGAGAAUACUACGAUGGUACAAAGUCACAGAAGCCCUGGGAAAAGCAGGUAGAAUGGAGUUGCCAUGACAUUGAGCCUCAUCCAGAUGCCAGUUCCAGAUAUUGGCAGACUGCUGGCCUCCUGAGGAGCCCAGGAAGGGGCCUGGCAGACUGGUGAUCCUGGUUGGAGAUGAAGAGGGGCUGAUUAAGAGGAGCUGACUGAGGCCGGGAGGUUUCCUGUCCAGGAGUGGUGAGCCUGUCAGCGCUGCACCUUGGCCUACCUGUACCUAGGAGAGAGUCAGGGCAUGGUUGGCUUCCCGUGAACACCUGGGGCUCGAGGAGUGUGCUGCCUCUGUUCCAUACCUGAUGUCAUCCACAUCCACGCCCAUGCAUCUGGCCAGGAGUGACUGUCACUGAUGAGGGCAGUGUGAUAGUACCUCUGAUGGUUUCUCUGAGCUCAGCCUUUGCACUUCACCUGUGUGGGCCAAAUGGAAAGCCAGGGUGGAGACGGAGCAUCCUGGGUCAGCUGGGAUCCCACUGUGUGAUUCCACGACAUGGGGUGUCAGAACCUGGAGUGCUGGUGGCGGCCAGGGCAGGGGUGGGGUGGCAUUCCUGUGGCUUUGCCACUCACUGGCUGUGUCACCAUGGAAAAGUUAUCUAAACCCCUCGGUGCCCCAGUCUUGUUCUCUGUCCAUGGCAAUUCGAGUAGUCCUGACCCAGUUGGAUGGCUCUGAGGUUUCAAUGACGUCAUACAUGCAAAUGGUU